CUGCUCAGUAACACGUAGUUAACCUAACCUAUGGACGGGGAUAACCUCGGGAAACUGAGAAUAAUCCCCGAUAGAUCACGGUGCCUGGAAUGGCCCGUGGUCCAAAUGAUUUAUCGCCGUAGGAUGGGACUGCGGCCUAUCAGCUAGUUGGUGAGGUAAUGGCCCACCAAGGCUAUAACAGGUACGGGCUCUGAGAGGAGGGGCCCGGAGAUGGGUACUGAGACACGGACCCAGGCCCUAUGGGGCGCAGCAGGCGAGAAACCUUUGCAAUGUGCGAAAGCACGACAAGGUUAAUCCGAGUGUCUCCUGCUAAAGGAGUCUUUUGCCGGUCAUAGAACCACCGGUGAAUAAGGGGUGGGCAAGUUCUGGUGUCAGCCGCCGCGGUAAAACCAGCACCUCGAGUGGUCAGGAGGUUUAUCGGGCCUAAAGCAUCCGUAGCCGGCUGCUCAAGUUUUCGGUUAAAUCUAUGCGCUCAACGUAUAGGCCGCCGAAGAUACUGGGCAGCUAGGGAGUGGGAGAGGUACACGGUACUCAAUAGGAAGGGGUAAAAUCCUUUGAUCUAUUGAUGACCACCUGUGGCGAAGGCGGUGUACCAGAACACGUUCGACGGUGAGGGAUGAAAGCUGGGGGAGCAAACCGGAUUAGAUACCCGGGUAGUCCCAGCUGUAAACGAUGCAGACUCGGUGAUGCAUUGGCUUGUGGCCAAUGCAGUGCCGCAGGGAAGCCGUUAAGUCUGCCGCCUGGGGAGUACGUACGCAAGUAUGAAACUUAAAGGAAUUGGCGGGGAGCACCACAAGGGGUGAAGCC
rnacentral:rRNA from 1 species